UACCCGCUGAGUUUAAGCA
rnacentral:ncRNA from 3 species